UCGAUUCGGUCAGCGACACCCAGUAAGAACAGAAGCAGGUAGGCUGUGGAGCAGCAGAACAUGGUUACCGAUACCAGCAUCACCCAGCCUUGCAGCAGAGGCACAGGUACAUUCGAUGACGCCACCAAGAUCCAUACCAGCCCUCCAAACACCUGAAAAAGAAAGUGUCCUGUUUUCCCUGUCUGUCCAGCGUCUCCCGGACUCCCGAGCUCUCCCGUCAACCCUGAGUGGACACAUGGGGCAAGACCUUGAGAACGUUGGCCGACAAUAAGCAACAUAUUGGCGACACCACGGCCCGUUACCGCAAUUAACACGUCUGCCUGCCUCUCUGACGAGGCUUUCCCUCUGGGGAAGAGGUGGUCUGGCGUCCUACCACCGACAUUCAACUCCUUCUACACCCAAUUAGGGCGAGGAGACGUCACCCCUGCAAGGUCAAACACUGUGGGCGCUCAAAGAACACCCACCCCACAGAGUUGCGGCUUCUCACGGUGACUUUCCAUUUUGAAAAUUGCUCAGAGUGGACAUUUGAUAGAUUGACUCAUUUUGCAAAUAUGUGACAUAAACUAGAAAACACUUUUUUUGUGCUCUUUGGGAAGAUUUCAGUUGAAAUUUGCAUGUUUGCAUGUCCAUUAGGUAAUUGUAGAAUUAUCCCAAACCUGAAUUUUUCUGACCAAUUUGUACACCCAAAAGAAGAAUGACUGCUGAUUACUGUUGAA